rfam:Gossypium hirsutum cultivar TM-1 chromosome 9, whole genome shotgun sequence
AGUAAAAAUUUCUAUUUAUUUUUACUAUUAAAAACUGGCGUGGCUGAUAGAAUAAUAAGAUAGUGACACAUGAUUUGGCAUAUAUACCUUAUGCUAAGGCACAAGGAGCAAUUUUUAACAAUAAAAAAUUAAUAAAAUUUUUAACA